AGAGUUUGAUCAUGGCUCAGAACGAACGCUGGCGGCAGGCCUCAAACAUGCAAGUCGAGGGGGCGUAGCAAUACGUCACCGGCGGACGGGUGCGUAACACGUGGGAAUGUACCUAGUGGUUCGGAACAACGCAGGGAAAACUUGCGCUAAUACUGGAUAAGCCCGUAAGGGGAAAGAUUUAUCGCCACUAGAUCAGCCCGCGUAGGAUUAGCUUGUUGGUAGGGUAACGGCUUACCAAGGCGACGAUCCUUAGCUGUUCUGAGAGGAAGAUCAGCCACACUGGGACUGAGACACGGCCCAGACUCCUACGGGAGGCAGCAGUUGGGAAUCUUGGACAAUGGGCGAAAGCCUGAUCCAGCCAUGCCGCGUGAGUGAUGAAGGCCUUAGGGUUGUAAAGCUCUUUUACCCGGGAAGAUAAUGACUGUACCGGGAGAAUAAGCUCCGGCUAACUUCGUGCCAGCAGCCGCGGUAAUACGAAGGGGGCUAGCGUUGUUCGGAAUUACUGGGCGUAAAGCGUGCGCAGGCGGCCAUUCAAGUCAGGGGUGAAAGCCCAGAGCUCAACUCUGGAACUGCCUUUGAAACUGUUUGGCUUGAGUGCGGGAGAGGUGAGUGGAAUUCCCAGUGUAGAGGUGAAAUUCGUAGAUAUUGGGAAGAACACCGGUGGCGAAGGCGGCUCACUGGCCCGUUUCUGACGCUCAUGCACGAUAGCGUGGGGAUCAAACAGGAUUAGAUACCCUAGUAGUCC
rnacentral:rRNA from 1 species